rnacentral:lncRNA from 1 species
GGCCCAUAUGUAGAUAAGGCAGGCACAUCAUCUCUUGUCAUGACAGGUUGAUUUUACAUAUUAAAUUUUUUUAUAUUUAAUUUAUUUUAUUUUUUAUCAUGUAUAAAUAACUGAUUUUAAGCUAUGCCACUAGGAGGACGAUCUGAUAGGAGGGGGCCACAUAGAGAUAUCGGUAUAUCUCCAUUUCAGUAGCAGUCAUAUCAUCCUAAGGUAGGCACAUCAUCUCCUAUCAUGAUAGUUUGAUUUUACAUAUUAUAAUUUUUUAUAUUUAAUUUAUUUUAAUUUUUUAUCAUAUAUAAAUAAUUAAUUUUAAGCUAUGCCAUUAGGAGGACCAUCUGAUAAGGGAGACCCAUACGGAGAUGUCGGUACCUCCUCAUCUCAGUAGCUAUCUAUCGAGAUAGGCAUAUCAUCUCCUACCAUGAUAGAUUGAUUUUAUAUAUUAUAAUUUUUUAUAUUUAAUUUAUUUUAAGUUUUUAUCAUAUAUAAAUAACUGAUUUUAAGCUUAUAUUUUGCUGCAGCUGACACUGUGAUUAGGCGAACUCAUGGAGCUGCCAGAAAUGAGAAGUUG